rnacentral:lncRNA from 1 species
AGAGAAGAAAGCUUUAUAUAAUAAAUGAAGGUGCUGAAUAAUGAAGUAUCAGGGAAGAAAAAGGGAGAUAUUUAAGAUGAUAAACAGUAUAUAUUUUGGCCCAUAUAAAGGAUCAACAGACCUUGAAAUUAAACAUUUUAGAAAAUUUGCUGGCAUUUGAAAAAUUAUGUUUGAAUUUAACUGACUGAGGAACAAUAAGAAAGGCAGGCUGUCCCAAUUAUACUUAUAUUUCCAUUGUGUCAUUACAGGAAAACCCAAAUAUUUUCCACCAUAUUUUUUAUUGUGCUUCAGUUUUGGUGGGUGGCCCCUUCUUUAUUGUCAAACAAAUUAGUCAUACAAUUAUGCUGGCUGUCCUUUACCCACUACAGAGGUCAUGAUAGCAGACUGUCCACUUGGCCAACACUUCUUUGGCACCCAGCCACCUUGAGAAUGCCCCUGUUGCCCAGGGCUCACUCCCGCCUCUGCUGAUUGAGCUGCAUGAUUCCUGAUCCAAGCAGAAGGUUCCUCUGUCUGUUUUGCAUGCAGUAUGAAACAGAUUGUAAAGAUGGACUCCUGUGGAAUAUGCUGUGUUUGGUGCUAAUUCCCAAUCAAGAUUGCUUAGGAGUUAACCAGGCAAUGGAUAAACAUUUUCUUUCACUGGAAUAUAAGCUUCAUGAUAGCAGGGAUUUUACUUAUUUUCUCAUUGAUGUGUUCCCAGCACAUAGAACUGUAUCUGGCACGUAAUGGUAAUGUAUACUCAAUAACUACUUGUGAAAUGAUAUCUUUGCUUGUGAGACUUUUUUUAAUAUCUUAAUGUGAUUGACCUGUCAGUUUUUUAAAAGAGAG